UACGUAGGGGGCAAGCGUUGUCCGGAUUUAUUGGGCGUAAAGAGCGUGUAGGCGGCUUGGUAGGUCCGCUGUGAAAACUCGAGGCUCAACCUCGAGAUGUCGGCGGAAACCACUUGGCUAGAGUCCGGAAGAGGAGAGUGGAAUUCUUGGUGUAGCGGUGAAAUGCGUAGAUAUCAAGAGGAACACCUGAGGUGAAGACGGGUUGCUGGGCUGACACUGACGCUGAGGCGCGAAAGCCAGGGGAGCAAACGGG
rnacentral:rRNA from 1 species